GUUCCAUCAUGUUCCUUUUUUGUCUCGUCACGAGCACAUGCCACCGAUGCUAAACUCUUUUGGCAACCGAUUGAAAAAUCAGCUGGAGGAGAGCUUCAUUAGAUCUGUCUACUCCUGUAUUUUCAGUUACCCGUGUGACUGAAAAAAAUACACUAUAUGUUACUAUGCUAUAUUUCUUAAGUUAUGUAUAGAACCUCUACCUAUAUACUUGGAUCACCGGAUUGUUCAAUUCUUUUUAUGCAACAAAACUACAGAAUUAGUACUUAUCAUUGCAGUGUCGUGUUCUGUGUAUACCAAUAUCUACCACUAUAAUACACCAGUCUUGAAUUUGGAUUCACCACCCCACUUGUUUUUUAGUCUGCUUGGGUACUGAUCACCUGAACUAAUGAACUAAUGGCCAAGAUACAGUGCAGAGAGUAAACUUGCCGGGUGAUACAUGAGAGCAUUUAUAUAAUGGUUGGCUCUAUCAAGUUUUUUACCGAUUUAUACUGAAUUAAACUUCUUGAUAUGGCGAUAGGGUCUCCAGUGUACAUGAUUAUCAGUUAAAUUUGUAUAUAAACUUCUUCCAAUUUGUUCAAUUGUAAGCCUAGUGAUGUAACAAUGACUGUUGAUUGUAUUGUUCUGCUCUUGGUUAGUACAAGAAAUGCUUGAGUUGUCAAUCAGGAAGAACUUCAAUUCUUCAAGCAAGAACUCUAGACUGGGCUUUCAAAUAAGUUGGACUGUAGAUAAUGUCCAGAUUUGUGAUCAUUGAUGCUUGUGCUUUCUUCUUCAUGUUCUGGUGAGGAAGAAGGGAAAACGCUGGAGCCAAUAGAUGUUUAGUGGGACUAUGUUCUGAAUUGACAAAGCUAAAGGAAGCACAUGCCAUCUAUCUCUCAUAUUGGUUAUUUGGAUGUUUUUGCGACUACGGAAUUGUGAUUGUAUAUUCUUGAGUAUUCAGUUCUUCAGUAUUGUUAAUUGAACAUACACUGGAAGUCAAAUUUCCAGGUAAAUCUGAUCAAGACUACUAGAUGAUCCAAAUGGAGGAUUAUUUCACUUUCAGACCCACUUUGUAAAUGUACAUCAUUGUCUUACCACAGAAGUUUAGAUGGACAUAGUAUCCAGGAUACCAACUAUUUGGAACUCCUCUCUACAAAAAAGGAUUAAGGGGAUUGGUAACUGGAGUUCAGAGCAUAAAAUUAUUCUAAUUGCCAUGCCUACAGUAUUGUCUACACAGAUUUGAGAGAGGAAUAGAUGGAUAGAUGAGCAAUGGACCAUUAAAGUUGCUUUCCAUGGUUCUCUUAGGGACCAUUGCAAAAGGUAGUUUUUUUUGGAUAAAGGUCAUCGAGCUAAGGUAAGCUCUUCAUAGACUGGAACAUUUUCAUGUCCUCGCCGGCGAGGAAACCAGGUGACCUUCUCAACCCAAUGUCUUUCCCUCCUUAUCCCUUUCUCCUAUCGCAGUUCCCUCUCAAUGCGUUAGUUUCUUUCGUCGUCGCUAGGUUCGGCACUCUGCCACGCUCGCUUCAGUAGCUUGUUGAUUAAGAGGUACGAGUGGGUGGCCAGCUGCAAUGUCUAGAUGGAAGACCUCUCCUGUUCAGAUUUAUUUUGGGUUCUUGAUUCCUUUUUCUCAAUGGUUAUAUGUAAUUAGUACAACAUUAGGAAAAAAGUAUACCGUGUUUGUGGCUGGAUGCAUUAAGUUGUUGGAAUUGUUGUAUUAGAAGUGCACUCUUGAUUGCCUUACCAAUGGUCCAAAAGAAUUGCACAACCGGUGAAAUUGACCGUGGUUUUAAUGUACUUUUGUUACAAUAGAGUUUUUUAGGAGCAAAGUACAGUGGGAGAUGUCCCACUGACUUGUAACUAUAAAAAGAAGGACGUCAGUUACAUUUACAAUACACUAGAGUAUAUUUCAUUAUUUCCCAGUUUGGACAUACUUCUAUAGGUUUGCUUCUCAUAAAUAUUAUCAUGCAUGUAUCAGCUGGUGAUUAUGUGAUAGUGGCGUGCUCUCAUAAAUAUUAUGUGUUUCCAGGUAGAUGAAUCCUUUCCGAAUAGGGACCAGGUUGGUUACUUCUUCUGUAAUUAUAUGUUUCAGUGAUAGCUGCUUGAUUAAAUGGUUCCAUCUGUUUCUUAUUCUUGUCAUCUAACGUAGAUAAAUAGAUUAUAUGCUUUUGCGCCGAAUCACGUGGAAGGUCGAGAUGACCGCACAUACAUAUUUUUUUAAUGUUUAUUACCGCAUGGAUGCCUACUGACCCUAAAUAUUUUUGGUUAAAAUGUUUUCCUGUGAAGUUUCUAUACUAUAUAAGAAAGUUGGUCUCAACUAUUUGAGGUCAUAUUCUAUUUUAAAGAUCACUCAUAUAGUUUCAUAGCUGAUUCAGUUGCAUUCGUUGAGAACAAGUGUUUGUAUCAAUCUUGUUUUUCAGGUUACUCGUAUUGCAUAUUGAUGGAUUUCUUGCAGGCUUGUACGCCAGAUUUUAUUUCAACUGUAUGUAUUCUUUUGUUUGACAAGAGGGUAUGUAUUCUGGACAAAUUCUGUAAUUAUAUGUUUCCAGUGAUAGCUGUUAGAUUAAAUGGUUGGUCCUAUCCAUGUGUAAUCAUGUAUUAUUUGGGAUGAGACUUGUAUUUUUAGUCAGUAUAAUUUUGUAAUGGAUUGAACAUAUUCCUGUAAUUUUGAACUGUGAAACACAUAGAAGUUAGUUAAUUUUGGUAGUAUUUGUGGCUUGUUGUGCUCACCCCAGAGGCAUGGCAGAAGCUUGCCCAUAUUUCUAAACUGAUGUCAUCCUUGCUACGACAAUUUUGAUCUUGGGCCACAUCAGAUUCAUACGUUUUGUGAAUCGGUGGGUCAUACAAUUGUAGUUGAAUCUGGUAAUACCAAGAGUCUAAGAGGGAUGAAUACCUGAAGAGAUUGAUGGGCCUUCCUAAUCAGUUUGAUUUGAAAAAAAUGGGCUGAAAUAAUUGGACAGGCGGGCCAAAGCAUUGAUAUCCUGAAGAACCACAAUGUUAUCAGAUCUCUUCUUAACAUUUUGCAGGAAUGAUGUUUGUUAGACGACCAAACUCACUUGCAUGUCAUUCCUUAAGAAGAUCAGUCUCCCAAAUGAUUGGACCAACUGUAAUGGGUGGUCCUCAUUAUCUAUACAUUCAGUUUAAGUUGAUCUGAACUUACAAUUUCUCUGUUGCAACACAUGCCUAAUGUCCUCAUGUGCACUAAGUAUGAGAUGCUUACUUUCCUAACAAAUAUCAAUCUGUUAUGAACAUCAGCUCGUAUAAUUUGAUUAUUUUUGGAGACC